CCUGCUAACUAGCUACGCAGAGGUUCCCCUUCAUGACCAACUUCUUAGAGGGACUAUGGACAUUUAAGCCAUGGAAUUUUGAGGCAAUAACAGGUCUGUGAUGCGCUUAGAUGUUCUGGGCUGCACGUGCACUACACUGAUGCAGUCAACUAUUUUUUCUCCCUGGUUCGAGAGGAUCGAGAAAUAUUCUCAAAUUGCAUCGUGAUGGGGAUAGACCAUUGAAAUUAUUGGUCUUCAACGAGGAAUUCCUAGUAAGCACAUGUCAUCAGCUCGUGUUGACUACGUCCCUACCCUUUGUACACACCGCCCAUUGCUCCUACCGAUUGAAUGAUCUGGUGAAGUGUUUGGAUCGUGUCAACGAGGGUGGUUCGCUGCCGACGAUGUAGUGAGAAGUUCACUGAACCUUAUCAUUUAGAGGAAGGAGAAGUCGUAACAAGAUUACCGUAGGUGAACCUGUGGUAGGAUCAUUG
rnacentral:ncRNA from 1 species